rnacentral:rRNA from 1 species
UAUGGGAGGCAGCAGUGGGGAAUAUUGCACAAUGGGCGAAAGCCUGAUGCAGCUAUGCCGCGUGUAUGAAGAAGGCCUUAGGGUUGUAAAGUACUUUCAUCGGGGAGGAAAAAACAAAACUAAUAAUUUUAUUUCUUGACGUUACCCGAAAAAGAAGCACCGGCUAACUCCGUGCCAGCAGCCGCGGUAAUACGGAGGGUGCUAGCGUUAAUCAGAAUUACUGGGCGUAAAGAGCACGUAGGUGGUUUUUUUAAGUCAGAUGUGAAAUCCCUGGGCUUAACCUAGGAACUGCAUUUUGAAACUGAAAUACUAGAGUAUCGUAGAGGGAGGUAGAAUUCUAGGUGUAGCGGUGAAAUGCGUAGAUAUCUGGAGGAAUACCUGUGGCGAAAGCGGCCUCCUAAACGAAUACUGACACUGAGGUGCGAAAGCGUGGGGAGCAAACAGGGAUUAGAUACC